UUGCCACUGGCAGGGGCAAGAUCUUUGCAUUAUUGCUUAGGCUAUUGGGGUGUUUCUCUUUGGAGUUUAUAUACAAACACACCCAAGGCUGAUGUUUUAUAUAUAUAUAUAUGUACAUGCAUGAAGGCCCACUACUCUUUCUUUGUGGAAACUGACAGUUCUACCUCAGGAAGCUGGAUACCAACCUUGGUCCCACUGUCGUUGCUAGAGGAGGAAGACAGUCGGGACUUCUUCGAGGCCAAGGACACGCCACUCCCCUGUAACUUGCCUGCCUCAUCAUCACUCCCAGUAACCUCAUAAUGACCUUUGCUCUUUGAUCCCAAGCCACCAAAGGUACCAAACUUCAGCUUUCCAUGCUUGCCUUUAGCGUCUCCACCUGCAAACUCCAAAGUCCCAGUUGGGGUGGAAGGCGCUGAGAACUCCCUCUCAUCACUGAAGGAGUUGGAGCGGUGUCGUGGCUUCUUACUUUUAAAUAGGGAGAAUUUGCCUUUGGGUGAAGAUGCUUCCGCUUCCACUUCUCCUUCCAGGGAGCCCAAGCUGGCCUUUGAGCUCUUCAGGUCCCCUUUGGACCCAGAAAUGGAUGCUUCAGGUGAGCCAGUGACACCACCUUUUCCUUUAGAUUUAGAAAAGAUAUGCUUGGGCAUUUUGAUUUUGGAUUUUUUCAGUUUUACUUCAGACUCUUCCCACUUGCCUUCUCCAGCACCAGCCUGCACAUUGGCCUCCACUUUAGGGAAGUUGACAUCCACUCCUACUUCUCUACCGAUGAGCUCGCGGCCAGAGAAGGUAAACUUAGGGAUCUUCAUCUUGGGGAAUGUUACUUUUCCAGAUUCACUUUCCAAGUGACCUUGAGGCCCAGACACACUCAGCCCGGGACCCUGGAGUCCGGUCUGGCCCCCUUUCACGUCUCCUUCUAUCUUUGGUCCUGAGAAAUGAAGGUUCCCAGCAAGUUUAGAUGUAUCCAAGUUUAGAGAAGAGGAGACUUGGGGUCCCUUCCACUCAACUCCAGAGCCUUUGACACUCAUAUGCCCUUCACCCAGGUUGAUAUCUGGGACACUGACACCCCCUGAAACAUCUACACCUCCUUUGACUUUGGGGCCCUUCAAGCUGACACCAAAAUCUGACUCAGGAGAUGCCACAUUAAAGGAAGGCCCCUUGACACCGAUAUCAGGAACAGCUCCAUGGAGACCUAGUCCUGAACCUUUCAGAUCUCCUUUAAUUUCGGGACCAGAAAUCUGCCCUGAUGAGAGUUUCACAUCACACCCAGAAGCCUUAAUUCCAGGCAUUUGGAGGUUUCCUUCUGGGCCUUGAAUGCUGAUGCCUGGAAGAGCUCCCCCAAUCGCUGGGCCUUUCAAUUCACCCGCAGCCCCGAGGCUCCCCUUCACUUUUGGUCCUUCCAAGUUAAAGUCCAUGCUUGGUGCUGAGAUCUGAGGCCCUUUCAGAUUCACAUCCAUCCCUGAUCCCUUUAGUUCUCCACAAACUUGUGGCCCCUUGAUGUUAAUGUCCAAGUCGGAUCCCGGAGUGGAGAUGCCAAACUGAGGCAGUUUCAUGUGGGGAAGUUUGACAGCACCUUCUGAAGCCUCCAAGCUAACAUCAGGAGUAGCCACAGACACUUUAGGACAUUUGAUGUCUCCAGACACAGCCAGAUCUCCCUGUAGACUUGGUCCCUUCAGUGUUACAUCUGGUGCCCCAACACUGAGUGCUGUUGUGGCAUCAAUCCCUGACAUUUUCACACCAUCUGCUCCUAUAUGUACUUUUCCACCAACACCUUUGAGGUCAAGACCUGGGGCGUGCAGCUUCAUGCUGGGACUGGAGGCACCCAGGUCUCCCUUCAAACUUGGUCCUUUCAAGUUCAUGUCAAGAUCAGGCCCAGACACUUUUGGCAUAGAGAGGUCCACCGAAGGCAAGUCUACUCCUGGGCCUUUUAGAGACAGAUGAGGCCCUUCAAGCUUCAUAUCUGAUGUGCUCAACCCUCCUUCAAGAGAGGGCAUCUGAGCGCCGAUCUCAGUGCUCCCACCUUCCAUUUUCACACCUGGGGCACUGAUCUUGGGCAAGGAAAACUUAGGGAACUUGAUUUUCCCUUCUGGACCUUGUAGAUCUAUGUUAGGUCCUUCCAGUCCCACACUGGGAACAUCACCUUUUAUCUUUGGUCCUUUCAAAUUAACAUUCACAUCGGGUAUGGAGACUUGAGGAGCAGAAACACUAAAAGAGGGUGCUUUGAUUUUAGCUUCAGGGCCUUCGAUGUUGAUGUCAGGUGUGUCCAAGUUUGCCUGCACCUUGGGACCUUUCAAGUUGCCCUCUAUCUUUGGCCCUGAGGCUUCCACGCCUGGCACCUUGAACUUGGGAGCCUUCAUAUGAAUAUCAGGAGCUUCCACAUUAAUCCCUGGUGAAGAAAUAUCCACAUCUGGUACCUUGAUUUCACCCUCCAGCUUGGGGCUAGGUAGGGGAGCCUCUGCUUUAAAUUUAGGUGACUUAAUGUCAAAUUCUACAUCUGGAAAGUACAUUUUUCCAAACAUAGUUUUCUUGACUUUGGGAGAUUUUACUUCAGCUUUGAGUGCAGCAUCAGGCCCUGCAACACUAACAUCUACAUCAGGAGCUUUGAGACUGGUAUCAAUCUCACCUCCAGGAAUAUUCAAAUCAAAUCCCUGUUUUUUGGCUUUAACUUUAGGACCACUCAUGUGAAUUUUAGGCAUUUUAAACUUGCUUUUCUUGCUCUUGCCACCAAUGUUUAUUUCAGGAGAAUCAACAUUCAGCUCUGCUUCAGGGACAGUCACAUCAACUGUGGGUGUCUUGAUGUCAGCUUUGGGGCUUUUUGCACCAAAUCCAAACUUGGGUUUCUUAAAUUUCGGAACUUUAACAUCCGGCCCCUCAAUAUUAAUAUCAGGGCUUUCCAUGUGGACAUCUAAGCUUGGAGUUUCUAAAUCAACUUUAGGCCCCUUGAGGUCUACCUCACCACCUCCUAACUUAGGCGCAGAAAUUCCAACUUUCGGUGUCUUAAGGUGCACAUUAGCAUCAGGCCCAGUUAUUUUAGGAACAGAUACCUCCAGCGAUGGCAUCUUCAAGUUAGGCCCACUAAGUUUAGCAUCAGGGCCUUCAAAAUCCAGACCUGGACCUUUCAUAUCUAUUUCAGGUCCUUUGAGAGUACCUUCAAUCUUAGGGACAGACCCAUCAAAGGCUCCUUUUACUUUGGGUCCUUUUAACUCCAGAUCAACAUCAGGCAUAGAGAUCUUGGGAGCCUUGAUGUUAAUCUCAGGCAUCCUGAAUUUGGGACCUUUUACUUUCAUAUCUGGACCCUCAACAUUAACAUCUGGAACAUCAAUGUCCACCUUGGGUCCUGAAACAUCAAGGUCAGCCUUGGGCAGAUUUACAUCCACUUCUGGGCCCUCUCCUUUGAAGCCAGGCAUGCUGAACUUGGGCAUUUUCACCUUGGGCAUCUUCAGGUGCCAGUCUGGGCCAUGAACAUCCACAUCUGGAACAUCAAUGUCCACUUUGGGGCCUUUGAUGUCAACUUCAGGAACUUUAAUCUCACCUUCCACUUUAGGCAGAGACACAUCCACAUCACCCUUCACUUUGGGGCCUUUCAGGUUUAAGUCAAUUUCAGGAACUUUAAUCUCACCUUCCACUUUGGGCAGAGACAUAUCCACAUCACCCUUCACUUUGGGGCCUUUCAGGUUUAAGUCAAUGUCAGGCAUGGAGAUCUUGGGGGCCUUGAUGUUCAUCUCAGGCAUCUUGAACUUGGGGCCUUUCAGUUUUGCAUCUGGCCCUUCAAUGUUCACAUCUGGAACAUCAAUGUCCACCUUGGGUCCUGAGACAUCAAGGUCAGCCUUGGGCAGGUUCACAUCUACUUCUGGACCCUCUGCUUUGAAGCCAGGCAUGCUGAACUUGGGCAUUUUCAUUUUGGGCAUCUUCAGGUGCCAGUCUGGGCCCUGCACGUCCAUAUCUGGAGCAUUGAUGUCCAUUUUGGGACCUUUGAUGUCAACAUCUGGGCCUUUGAGGUCACCUUCCACUUUGGGCAGGGAAACAUCUACAUCACCCUUCACUUUGGGACCCUUAAGAUGUAAAUCUGGCAUGGAGAUCUUUGGAGCCUUGAUGUUCAUCUCAGGCAUCUUGAACUUGGGGCCCUUCAGCUUUGCAUCUGGACCUUCAAUAUUCACAUCUGGAACAUCAAUGUCCACCUUGGGUCCUGAGACAUCAAGGUCAGCAUUGGGCAGGCUCACAUCUACUUCAGGGCCUUCUCCCUUGAAGCCAGGCAUGCUGAACUUGGGCAUUUUUAUUUUGGGCAUCUUCAGGUGCCAGUCUGGGCCAUGGACAUCCACAUCUGGAACAUCAAUGUCCACUUUGGGGCCUUUGAUGUCAACUUCAGGAACUUUAAUCUCACCUUCCACUUUGGGCAGAGACACAUCCACAUCACCCUUCACUUUGGGGCCUUUCAGGUUUAAGUCAAUGUCAGGCAUGGAGAUCUUGGGGGCCUUGAUGUUCAUCUCAGGCAUCUUGAACUUGGGGCCCUUCAGUUUUGCAUCUGGCCCUUCAAUGUUCACAUCAGGAACAUCAAUGUCCAC
rnacentral:lncRNA from 1 species